GCGGGAAUAGCUCAGCUGGUAGAGCAUCUCGUUGCCAACGAGAAGGUCGCGGGUUCGAAUCCCGUUUCCCGCUCCA
rnacentral:tRNA from 3 species